rnacentral:rRNA from 1 species
CUGGCUCAGGACGAACGCUGGCGGCGUGCCUAAUACAUGCAAGUCGAACGAAGCUUUCUUUCACCGAAUGCUUGCAUUCACC